GACGAACGCUGGCGGCGUGCUUAACACAUGCAAGUCGAACGGAAAGGCCCUGCUUUUGUGGGGUGCUCGAGUGGCGAACGGGUGAGUAACACGUGAGUAACCUGCCCUUGACUUUGGGAUAACUUCACGAAACUGGGCUAAUACCGGAUAGGAGCUCCUGCUGCAUGGUGGGGGUUGGAAAGUUUCGGCGGUUGGGGAUGGACUCGCGGCUUAUCAGCUUGUUGGUGGGGUAGUGGCUUACCAAGGCUUUGACGGGUAGCCGGCCUGAGAGGGUGACCGGCCACAUUGGGACUGAGAUACGGCCCAGACUCCUACGGGAGGCAGCAGUGGGGAAUAUUGCACAAUGGGCGGAAGCCUGAUGCAGCAACGCCGCGUGCGGGAUGACGGCCUUCGGGUUGUAAACCGCUUUCGCCUGUGACGAAGCGUGAGUGACGGUAAUGGGUAAAGAAGCACCGGCUAACUACGUG
rnacentral:rRNA from 1 species